rnacentral:rRNA from 1 species
GGGAGUGAAAGAGAACCUGAAACCUUGUGCUUACAAACAGUCAAAGGCCUACGGGCUGAUGGCGUACUUUUUGUAGAACGGUCCGGCGAGUUACUAAUGCCAGCGAGGUUAAGAUGUCAGAAGCAUCGGAGCCGAAGGGAAACCAAGUCUGAAUAGGGCGUAGAGUUGGUAUUAGUAGACCCGAAACCGGGUGACCUAUCCAUGUCCAGGUUGAAGGAACCGUAAAAGGUUUUGGAGGACCGAACACACAUGUGUUGAAAAACGUGGUGAUGAGGUGUGGAUAGCGGAGAAAUUCCAAUCGAACUCGGAGAUAGCUGGUUCUCCUCGAAAUAGCUUUAGGGCUAGCCUCGAGCUGGAGUCUAACGGAGGUAAAGCACUGAACUGACGCGGGGCCCAAAAAGGUUACCAACUCAUAUCAAACUAAGAAUGCCGUCAAGAUACCCUCGGGAGUCAGUCUGCGUGAGAUAAGUCGCGUGGACAAAAGGGAAAGAGCCCAGACCGACAGCUAAGGUCCCAAAGUACGUGUUAAGUGGAAAAGGAUGUGGGAUUUCAUAGACAACUAGGAUGUUGGCUUAGAAGCAGCCAUACAUUUAAAGAGUGCGUAAUAGCUCACUAGUCGAGAAAACCUGCGCCGAAAAUGUAACGGGGCUAAAACACGACACCGAAGCUACGGAUUCCUUACUAAGUAAGGAGUGGUAGAGGAGCAUCCUGCAAGGACGAAGCCAAAGUGAGAGCGAUGGUGGACGAAACAGGAGAGAGAAUGCCGGAAUGAGUAGCGAGAUACAUGUGAGAAACAUGUAGGCCGAAUAUCUAAGGAUUCCUGGGUAAAGCUAAUCUUCCCAGGGUUAGUCGGGGCCUAAGGCGAGGACGAAAGUCGUAGUCGAUGGAUAACAGGUUGAUAUUCCUGUACUACACAUAAUCAGAACUGUGGGGACGCAGGAGGAUAGGGAAACCGGGGAAUGGAAAGACCCGGUCAAGCGUAAAGCUGUGAGAGAUAGGCAAAUCCGUCUCUUGUAAGUGAAACGUGAUGAGGACUGAAAAAAAGUAAGGAAGUUUCCGAAUCCACACUGCCGAGAAAAGCCGCUAUUGCGUUAUGUGUACCCGUACCGUAAACCGACACAGGUAGAUGAGGAGAAAAUCCACAGGCCGACGGGAGAAGUGUUGUUAAGGAACUCGGCAAAAUGACCCCGUAACUUCGGGAUAAGGGGAGCCUCGCAAGAGGCCGCAGAAAAGAGGCACAAGCAACUGUUUAGCAAAAACAUAGGUCUAUGCGAAACCGUAAGGUGAAGUAUAUGGGCUGACGCCUGCCCGGUGCUGGAAGGUUAAAAGGAGAGGUCAGCGCAAGCGAAGCUUUGAAUUCAAGCCCCAGUAAACGGCGGCCGUAACUAUAACGGUCCUAAGGUAGCGAAAUUCCUUGUCAGGUAAGUUCUGACCCGCACGAAAGGCGUAAUGAUUUGUGCACUGUCUCGACAACACGCCCGGUGAAAUUGAAGAACCAGUGAAGAUACUGGUUACCCGCAACAGGACGGAAAGACCCCAUGGAGCUUUACUGCAGCCUGAUACUGGGAUUCGAUGAUAUAUGUACAGGAUAGGUGGGAGGCUAAGAAGCGAGAACGCUAGUUUUCGUGGAGCCGCCGGUGGGAUACCACUCUUAUGUCAUUGAAUUUCUAACCUGCAUCCGUAAUCCGGGUGAGGGACAAUGUCAGGCGGGCAGUUUGACUGGGGCGGUCGCCUCCUAAAAGGUAACGGAGGCGCUCGAAGGUCACCUCAGAAUGAUUGGAAACCAUUCAAAGAGUGUAAAGGCAAAAGGUGGCUUGACUGCGAGAGCGACGGCUCGAGCAGGUACGAAAGUAGGACUUAGUGAUCCGGU